rnacentral:sRNA from 1 species
GCUGAGUGCGGUGGUGCACGCCUGUAAUCCCAGCAGCUUGGAGGCUGAGGCAGGAGAAUCGCUAGUUCAAAGCCAGCCUCAGCAAUUUAGUGAGACCCUAAGUAACUCAGUGAGACCCUGUCUCUA